AAGUGUGGCCCAGGCACUGCAGGAACGUGCUUAGGAAAUGAAGGUGAUCCUGAGUAAAAGGUGAACGUGCUGAAUGGAACAAGAAGUAAGAAUUACUGCAGACAGGAUGCAGCUUUCUCAGUUCCAAGUCAGAAGCUUCAAGCAAGUCCUUGAAUUAGAGCAUGAAGUGGAUCAGAAGCCAGAGAGAAACACACAGACUGGUCUGGGAUCCCCCUAAGUGCAGUGUAAAGGCAAGGAUUGUGAUUGUGCUGUACACUGCUACAUCCAGCUCACCCUCACCACCCCAAAUCUGU